rnacentral:tRNA from 1 species
GAUUCAAUGGGACGGUGGUUAGAGCUUAGGUCUUGGGAGCGAAAGGUCCCGGGAUCGAAUCUCGGAAGAAACA